UCUUUACUCAAAAGAAACUCAAAUAUAAGACUCUUUAAAUUUCUUCAUUCUCCUCAAUCUAUCAUCGUCUUUCAUUUUCUGUUUUAUUUUUUUAACAUUUUGGUCCUUCACCAUUCCUGGGUUUCCAAUCAAUGACGUGUAAACUGUUAAACUGUCAGAUUCAAAACCGGUGUGUUCUUGUUGUCUCAAAAUUUAUUGAAUUACUGGUAUAAUAGUAAGAGCAAUGCUAAAGGAUCAUGGUUCCAGUGCACCAUCUGCACCUACUAGUACUCGAGUUCGGCACCGGAGACGGUCCAGUGAGCUUCCUGUUGAGAUGAGCAGAACAAACUGAAAUCAUUUACUUGCCAAUGAUCACAACAAAUAUAAAUCAUUGUGGAUUCGUGCUUGUUCAUCUCUGUGGAUGCUGGGGGCUUCUUAUUAUCCGAAUAUUCAUGGCGAGGGAGCUCUUCAAUCUACUCAGAAAAGCCCACGAAGAUAAACGCCUGCCUGGGUUCAGGCUCUUGAACUGGCACUUUUACUUCACGGCUAUGCUCUUUGUAUACGGUCGCAUUCUCAGUCACCAGCUCGUGAAUACAGUAACUUUAGAUAAAAAUCU